rnacentral:rRNA from 1 species
AANUCGUAACAAGGUCUCCGUUGGUGAACCAGCGGAGGGAUCAUUACAGAGUUGCAAAACUCCCACAAACCAUCGCGAAUCUUACCCGUACGGUUGCCUCGGCGCUGGCGGUCCGGAAGGCCCUCGGGCCCCCCGGAUCCUCGGGUCUCCCGCUCGCGGGAGGCUGCCCGCCGGAGUGCCGAAACCAAACUCUUGAUAUUUUAUGUCUCUCUGAGUAAACUUUUAAAUAAGUCAAAACUUUCAACAACGGAUCUCUUGGUUCUGGCAUCGAUGAAGAACGCAGCGAAAUGCGAUAAGUAAUGUGAAUUGCAGAAUUCAGUGAAUCAUCGAAUCUUUGAACGCACAUUGCGCCCCUUGGUAUCCGGGGGGCAUGCCUGUUCGAGCGUCAUAUAAACCCUCAAGCUUAGCUUGGUGUUGGGGCCUGCUGUUAACAGCAGCCCUUAAAAGCAGUGGCGGUGCCGUCUGGCUCUAAGCGUAGUAAUUCUUCUCGCUCCAAGGUCCUGGUGGAUGCUUGCCAACAACCCCUAAUUUUCUAUGGUUGACCUCGGAUCAGGUAGGGAUACCCGCUGAACUUAA